UACGGAGGAUGCAAGCGUUAUCCGGAAUGAUUGGGCGUAAAGCGUCCGCAGGUGGCAGUUCAAGUCUGCUGUCAAAGACCGGGGCUUAACUUCGGAAAGGCAGUGGAAACUGAACAGCUAGAGUAUGGUAGGGGCAGAGGGAAUUCCUGGUGUAGCGGUGAAAUGCGUAGAGAUCAGGAAGAACAUCGGUGGCGAAGGCGCUCUGCUGGACCAGAACUGACACUCAGGGACGAAAGCUAGGGGAGCGAAUGGG
rnacentral:rRNA from 1 species